rnacentral:rRNA from 1 species
UAGGGCGGGACACGUGGUAUCCUGUCUGAAUAUGGGGGGACCAUCCUCCAAGGCUAAAUACUCCUGACUGACCGAUAGUGAACCAGUACCGUGAGGGAAAGGCGAAAAGAACCCCGGCGAGGGGAGUGAAAAAGAACCUGAAACCGUGUACGUACAAGCAGUGGGAGCCCCACCACUAAGCCAGUGGUGAACUCCACAUACGCAUCCUUUGCUGAGGAUACGGUUAACGGAGCGAAAGCGACGUUCAACCGCAAAAGAAGCAGAGGGGGCUUAGUGGUGGGGUGACUGCGUACCUUUUGUAUAAUGGGUCAGCGACUUAUAUUCUGUAGCAAGGUUAACCGAAUAGGGGAGCCGGAGGGAAACCGAGUCUUAACCGGGCGUUAAGUUGCAGGGUAUAGACCCGAAACCCGGUGAUCUAGCCAUGGGCAGGUUGAAGGUUGGGUAACACUAACUGGAGGACCGAACCGACUAAUGUUGAAAAAUUAGCGGAUGACCUGUGGCUGGGGGUGAAAGGCCAAUCAAACCGGGAGAUAGCUGGUUCUCCCCGAAAGCUAUUUAGGUAGCGCCUCGUGAAUUCAUCUCCGGGGGUAGAGCACUGUUUCGGCUAGGGGGCCAUCCCGGCUUACCAACCCGAUGCAAACUGCGAAUACCGGAGAAUGUUAUCACGGGAGACACACGGCGGGUGCUAACGUCCGUCGUGAAGAGGGAAACAACCCAGACCGCCAGCUAAGGUCCCAAAGUCAUGGUUAAGUGGGAAACGAUGUGGGAAGGCCCAGACAGCCAGGAUGUUGGCUUAGAAGCAGCCAUCAUUUAAAGAAAGCGUAAUAGCUCACUGGUCGAGUCGGCCUGCGCGGAAGAUGUAACGGGGCUAAACCAUGCACCGAAGCUGCGGCAGCGACGCUUAUGCGU